rnacentral:lncRNA from 1 species
GGCUAAUUGGCUUGACGUUUGCUAAGUUUUCAUUAGUACUGUACUUACCUCUCUCUGAAACUGACCACCUGGUGAGAUUUUCAUUUUUUUUUUCCUGUCUCUCCAGCACUGAGCAACCAGUUAACCAUAUACUAGCCACCACAAUGCAUAGAAAGACGUCUAUAUCAGAUUAAAUAGAUCCAUGAAGUUAUGAUUCAGGUUCUAUUGAUAUCUGGUGAUACAGAUCUGUCAGGUUCUAUUGAUAUCUUAUAAGUCAACCUAUAGAAGCAGCUUGUAAGUUUGACUUAAGUUCUAUAGGCCUCAAACCCCCCAAGACAUGUGGUGAUAUUUUUCUUUCUCACCCUGUUUUGGGAGGAGGUGAGCUUUUGUCUUCCCUGACAAAAUCACAGUUGCUGCCAAGGGAAACACAGCUGAGGAGCAGGAGUGACCCAGCCUUCCCUUUGCUUCCUUUCUUCUUCCCUCCCUGCUGCACAGCUCCCUUGCUCCAGAAGCGCGAUGCUGCCUCACCUGAGGAUUCAGAGCUGCCUCCAGGCCCUUGCAGGAGAAGUGCAGGUGCUCAGGAGAUUGAGGCUUCCCCAGCACCUGCCAAGAAAGUCUGUGCCACCUCUGCACUUGUUGGGGCUUCACCAGUGGAACCAUCAAGAGAGCUCAUCCAGAGAUUUAAUCUCUGCAAGCUCACGGUUCCACUGGUUCGCCUGGACCUGAAACGCCAUCCUGAGCUCAUGGUUCGCCUCGCUCCAGUCGACCCUGAAGCUGCUUGCAGGGCCCUUGGACAGAGCAACAGCUGCUCAUCUUCUCAGCAGCACAGCCCAGCCUGCCACCCAUCAGCUCCUUGGUGCCAGAAGCGCGAUGCUGCCUCACCUGAGGAUUCAGAGCUGCCUCCAGGCCCUUGCAGGAGAAGUGCAGCUGCUCAGGAGAGGGAGGCUUCCCCAGCACCUGCCAAGAAAGUCUGUGCCACCUCUGCACUUGUUGGGGCUUCACCAGUGGAACCAUCAAGAGAGCUCAUCCAGAGAUUUAAUCUCCGCAAGCUCACGGUUCCACUGGUUCGCCUGGACCUGAAACGCCAUCCUGAGCUCAUGGUUCGCCUCACUCCAGUCGACCCUGAAGCUGCUUGCAGGGCCCUUGGACAGAGCAACAGCUGCUCAUCUUCUCAGCAGUACAGCCCAGCCUGCCACCCAUCAGCUCCUUGGUGCCAGAAGCGCAGUGCUGCCUCACCUGAGGAUUCAGAGCUGCCUCCAGGCCCUUCCAGGACAAGUCCAGAUCCUCAAGGGCGUGAAGCUUCCCCAGCACGUGCCAAGAAAGUGUUUGCUACAUCUGGACUUGGGGUUUCAUCAGGCCAGCCAGGCACACACAGAUUCCAAUCCCAGCCAGAGCUCAUGACUCCACCAUUUCCUGCGCACCAUCAAAGCACUUCUGCGGCCUCUCCAGAGAGCAGCAGCUGCACUUCUCCAGAGCAGCACUUGCCAGCCAACAUCCCAUCAGCCGCCCCGGGCACUUCAGUCCCCAGUGCUCCAGCUGGCAGUGCUGGUUAUGCAGCAUGGAGAGCCCCAAGCUGGGUCUGGAGUACUCCUGGGGAAGAGGAAUUGCCACCGCUGGAUCUGGACCUUGUUCUGGAGACACUGGAGGAGAUGCUUUCACCAUCUGUGCCUGAAAGGUCUCCCUCUGCUCAGGUCAAUCCUAGUGUUGCCCGUGGCUCUUCAGGAGGGGAGGCUGUGAACAAGGCUGCAGCAGAGGGAGCUUUGCCUGUUUGCGGGAGCCGUGUGAACGUUUGCCAGGAGCCCGAGGAGCUUGGUAAGGAGUGAGCCCAGCGUGGUUUAGAGAGAUGGGAGACAGCUGCUCUGAGCCUGCCUCUGACAGGAAGGGAGAUCAGAAGAGUUGAGUUCUUGUCUGCAGCAGGGUUGGUGCUUCCUGGUGCUUUUAGUUCAAAUCCUGCACUGGCACAAGCUCCCCGAGCCCUGCCCCUCCAUGCUUUUCCAGAGGCUCUGACACCGAGUCCUCUGCUGUGGCAAGAGAGCCGGCAAGAAACCUGAGCUGGUGGCAGUUGUGUCACCAAGCUGCGUGUCCCAAUUGGUUCCCAGCUCACAGCAGC